rnacentral:rRNA from 1 species
UACGUAGGGUGCGAGCGUUGUCCGGAAUUAUUGGGCGUAAAGAGCUCGUAGGCGGUUUGUCGCGUCGACUGUGAAAACCUACAGCUUAACUGUGGGCUUGCAGUCGAUACGGGCAGACUUGAGUUCGGUAGGGGAGACUGGAAUUCCUGGUGUAGCGGUGAAAUGCGCAGAUAUCAGGAGGAACACCGGUGGCGAAGGCGGGUCUCUGGGCCGAUACUGACGCUGAGGAGCGAAAGCUUGGGGAGCGAACAGG